UACGGAGGGGGCAAGCGUUAUUCGGAAUUAUUGGGCGUAAAGGGCGCGUAGGCGGCUAGAUGUGUCAAAGGUGAAAUCCCUCGGCUCAACUGAGGAACUGCCUUUGAAACUGUCUGGCUUGAGGCCGGGAGAGGGUAGCGGAAUUCUCGGUGUAGCGGUGAAAUGCGUAGAUAUCGAGAGGAACACCGGUGGCGAAAGCGCUCUGCUGGGCCAUAACUGACACUCAGGGACGAAAGCUAGGGGAGCGAACAGG
rnacentral:rRNA from 1 species